GAUGAACGCUGGCGGCGUGCCUAAUACAUGCAAGUCGAGCGAAUGGAUUAAGAGCUUGCUCUUAUGAAGUUAGCGGCGGACGGGUGAGUAACACGUGGGCAAUCUGCCCCGUCGAUCGGGACAACCCGGGGAAACCCGGGCUAAUACCGAAUGUGGUGCCGGCUCAUGAGAGCCGGUACGAAAGGAAGCUUCGGCCUCCGCGACGGGAUGAGCCCGCGGCCCAUUAGCUUGUUGGUGGGGUAAUGGCCUACCAAGGCAACGAUGGGUAGCUGGUCUGAGAGGACGUUCAGCCACACUGGGACUGAGACACGGCCCAGACUCCUACGGGAGGCUGCAGUGGGGAAUCUUGCGCAAUGAGCGACAGCUUGACGCAGCAACGCCGCGUGGGGGAAGAAGGCUUUCGGGUCGUAAACCCCUUUCAGUUAGGACGAAGCUUUUUUGGUUAAUAGCCAAGCGGAGUGACGGUACUUUCAGAAGAAGCCCCGGCUAACUACGUGCCAGCAGCCGCCGCCG
rnacentral:rRNA from 1 species